UGUCUCGCACUGUUGCUGCUGCGAAUAUCAGAUGCGUCUUUUUCUCGUCUGUUUAAUUUUGGUAGAAAACGCAAAUCCACACUGGUGGAUCGUGCAUACAGAAAACGAUGUCAUUGCAGAGCGACCAGGAGUUUUGAGGGGGGUCUUGUGCGUUCUGAGACCGCCCACCAGUGGUUGGCCCCGCCCAGGCGACCCGCGGACUUGGUAUGAGAGAACAAAGAAAAUGGUCAAAAUGAAAAAUUGAAGUCGUUUGAAAGAGGGGCUUGCGAAUGUGUCAUUCGGGACAAAAUGGUGGCCGGUCCCACAAACAUCCAUCUCCUCCUGGGACGGUCUCCUGCUGAAGAGGGGGGCAUGUCCAGGCUUGUCCGUUUCAUGUGCGAAGUGAUGCGCUCUCAAGAUGACAGUGAGUGACGUCAAAGGGCGUCAGUGAUGCGAGCCUGGAGCCCAAAGUGAAGCACUUCUUUUCACCCUGCACCCCUCCUUCUCCUCACAAAGAAUUACUGCAGAAGUGACAGCUGACCUUCAGCUGCUGAUUACAUGCACAGGACAUCAUAAGCUGUGUAGCACCCAUCGCCAGACUCUUGACUUACCUUUAGGAGAGUCUCAGCUCCUUCUUCAGUGUUUUGUGACAUAAACGGCUCUUCUGUG